GUUCGCUUCGGCAGCACAUAUACUAAAAUUGGAAUGAUACAGAGAAGAUUAGCAUGGCCCCUGCACAAGGAUAUUAUAAACAUUCAAUUAUUUCCUAAUAAUGGUU